AUCGAAAGCUUGCUUUUGAUGGGCGUCGACCGGCGCACGGGUGAGUAACGCGUAUCCAACCUGCCCACCACUUGGGGAUAACCUUGCGAAAGUAAGACUAAUACCCAAUGACGUCUCUAGAGGACAUCUGAAAGAGAUUAAAGAUUUAUCGGUGAUGGAUGGGGAUGCGUCUGAUUAGCUUGUUGGCGGGGUAACGGCCCACCAAGGCUACGAUCAGUAGGGGUUCUGAGAGGAAGGUCCCCCACAUUGGAACUGAGACACGGUCCAAACUCCUACGGGAGGCAGCAGUGAGGAAUAUUGGUCAAUGGACGAGAGUCUGAACCAGCCAAGUAGCGUGCAGGAUGACGGCCCUAUGGGUUGUAAACUGCUUUUAUAAGGGAAUAAAGUGAGUCUCGUGAGACUUUUUGCAUGUACCUUAUGAAUAAGGACCGGCUAAUUCCGUGCCAGCAGCCGCGGUAAUACGGAAGGUCCGGGCGUUAUCCGGAUUUAUUGGGUUUAAAGGGAGCGUAGGCCGGAGAUUAAGCGUGUUGUGAAAUGUAGACGCUCAACGUCUGCACUGCAGCGCGAACUGGUUUCCUUGAGUACGCACAAAGUGGGCGGAAUUCGUGGUGUAGCGGUGAAAUGCUUAGAUAUCACGAAGAACUCCGAUUGCGAAGGCAGCUCACUGGAGCGCAACUGACGCUGAAGCUCGAAAGUGCGGGUAUCGAACAGGAUUAGAUACCCUGGUAGUCCUUCUGUAGAGAAGAUGGAUGCCCGCUGUUGGUCUGAAUAGGUCAGCGGCCAAGCGAAAGCAU
rnacentral:rRNA from 1 species